UACAGAGGGGGCAAGCGUUGUUCGGAAUUACUGGGCGUAAAGGGCGCGUAGGCGGCCUUCUAAGUCGGACGUGAAAUCCCUGGGCUCAACCCAGGAACUGCGUCCGAGACUGGAAGGCUUGAGUCCGGGAGAGGAGAGUGGAAUUCCUGGUGUAGCGGUGAAAUGCGCAGAUAUCAGGAAGAACACCCGUGGCGAAAGCGGCUCUCUGGAACGGUACUGACGCUGAGACGCGAAAGCGUGGGGAGCGAACAGG
rnacentral:rRNA from 1 species